AUAUUGCACAAUGGAGGGAACUCUGACGCAGCGACGCCGCGUGAGCGAUGAAGGUCUUCGGAUCGUAAAGCUCUGUCCUUGGGGAAGAAGGUCUUCGGACUUGACGGUACCUAAGGAGGAAGCCCCGGCUAACUACGUGCCAGCAGCCGCGGUAAUACGUAGGGGGCAAGCGUUGUCCGGAAUUAUUGGGCGUAAAGGGUGCGUAGGCGGCCUUUUAAGUCAGAUGUGAAAGCCCACGGCUUAACCGUGGGACUGCAUUUGAAACUGGGGGACUUGAGUUAUGGAGAGGGGAGUGGAAUUCCUAGUGUAGCGGUGAAAUGCGUAGAUAUUAGGAGGAAUACCAGUGGCGAAGGCGACUUUCUGGACAUUAACUGACGCUGAGGAACGAAAGCGUGGGGAGCAAACA
rnacentral:rRNA from 1 species